CUAGUUGGCGAGGUAACGGCUCACCAAGGCAACGACGGGUAGCUGGUCUGAGAGGAUGGCCAGCCACAUUGGGACUGAGAUACGGCCCAGACUCCUACGGGAGGCAGCAGUGGGGAAUCUUGCGCAAUGGCCUAACGGCUGACGCAGCGACGCCGCGUGUGGGAUGAAGCUCUUCGGAGUGUAAACCACUGUUGCCCGGGACGAAUAGCUCGAUUAAUCGAGCCUGACGGUACCGGGUGAGGAAGCACCGGCUAACUUCGUGCCAGCAGCCGCGGUAAUACGGGGGGUGCGAGCGUUGUCCGGAAUCACUGGGCGUAAAGGGCGCGUAGGUGGUUUGAUAAGGGUGUGGUGAAAGUCCGGGGCUCAACCCCGGAUCUGCCGUGCCGACUGUCAAACUCGAGGGCUGUAGAGGCAGACGGAAUUCCGGGUGUAGCGGUGGAAUGCGUAGAGAUCCGGAGGAAGACCGGUGGCGAAGGCGGUCUGCUGGGCAGUUUCUGACACUGAUGCGCGACAGCGUGGGGAGCAAACAGGAUUAGAUACCCUGGUAGUCCACGCCGUAAACGAUGGGUACUAGGUGCCUGGGGGAGCGACCCUCUGGGUGCCGGCGCUAACGCAGGAAGUACCCCGCCUGGGGAGUACGACCGCAAGGUUGAAACUCAAAGGAAUUGACG
rnacentral:rRNA from 1 species